rnacentral:sRNA from 1 species
GUUGAAUAAAUAUUUCUUAAACAUUUAAAAACAUGUAUUUAAUUCAAAAUAUUUAUUUUAGAAUCGAUGAAAGUAUUGGUAAAGAGACUUAUUAGAUACUAGAUACUAACCAUAAGGACGACUUCCUGAUAGAUAUGGCCUGAAAGGUGAAGGUUAUAUAUUCCAUCUUUAAAAAAUGUCAAACUUUCGCCCCGCAGUUGGAACACCUUCUAUUGACACAUGAGAUGGAUCGAACCCUCUGGUCUCUGGACUCCUGACUCCGGAGAGUCCACCCCGAGAAGCGGUGGACACUGGGCGGUGGAUGGUGGGUGGGUGAGUGGGUGGUGACCCGAUUGAACCCACUGACAAGCAAAUUACUUGACCGGGCCACACCAACCACAAGUCAAGGUAUGGCAGCCAGCCGUUAACUUUGCAGCUAAUUAUAAAUGAAAUCCGAUAUCAAAGGGCACACGGAGACACGCCUUUGUGCAGCACCCACACACACACACACACACACACUGGCACACUCAUUGUCAAACACACACACACUCAAAGGUACACAACACCAAACACAAAGACAAUGUCAAUUCAUUUGGAGUUUUGGAGUCUAGGACACUUGGAAAAAAAUGUUUAUUAAAUU